AAGGGGUAGAUCUUGAUAGUGAUUUUCUUCAUAUUGCCAUAAAAUAUUGGGACCCUAACACUCAUUGUUUUAAACUAGGCAAUGAUAAAAUUAGCCCCUGCGAGAAGAUCUUUGUGCUAUUUUUGAUUUUCCCUCUUUAGAUCUUGCAGUAAUCCCCACAAUGUGUUAAUAUUUCUAUAUGCUAAUAAAAAUUUCAUCUAAAAAAUUUGAAUUUUCAGAUUUUGAUAUCUCUUAAUACUCUUCCACGCUCUAGGAGUUUCUUUCAUUGUAGAACCCUAACUUUGUUUCAUCAUCUUUAUGUCUUAACUCCCUCUCUGUCUUCGUCUAACUCUUCCACUGAAACGACUCUUGAGCUCUUUCUCGUCCAUUGUAAAAGCUUCAAAGUUUUCUCUUUCAAUUCCCUCCCAUUUUCGCAUCUCCUGCUCUUCCUCCCAGCUUUCCCUCUCCGUUUUUGCAUCUCCCUCUCGUUUUCGCAAUUCCUUCUGCACUCCAUUGAUGCAGCUCGCUCUCUUUCAAUUAUUGAAGUUUUCAGCGAGAUUUUUCAACCAGUGAAGUUUAAAUUCUUGCAAUUUUUAUAAAUGAACCUUGAAGAUCUAAAUUCUUCAAAUCGAAGUUUGUGGCACCACCAAUCUGAUAUGUGAAAUUUAUUUACUUCGUAUCUCAGUUUUUUGGGGGUUACUCUGGGUUUUGGUUUGGUGAGACAAUUACUACAAUAAUCAUCGCCUUAAUUUUUGUGGUUAUGACAAUUCUUGCAUCUUUUUUAUACCUGCUGUGUUCUCAUGUUCGUAAAGCCUUUCCGAUUUUCUGGUCCAUAUGGUAGUCCAUUACGAACAAUAAAACAUUGCCUUUUUUUUUUUCUCAAAAAUCAGAAGAACCAAAAUGGAGAAUACGGUUGUCAGGCACCUUCGCCAUCGAAACAUAUGUCUGGUCGACAUGUUGUUUGGAUCGCACUUCUACGACGACAUGUUGUUUGGAUCGCACUUCUACGACAUUGUUACAAAAAUACUCGGGUUGUUUUAUGGGGAUAUGGACCUUUAUUAUGAGAAAUCACAUAGGAAGUGGGGUAGAUUCAACUUUUUUCGUUUAAUUUCAAGAUGCGGAUUAAUGGAUCGCUAGAUACCGCUACUGAAUUAGCACUAGUUGAUCAAUAUACAAAUCUUGCACAUUUAUUCUUUAUGAGAGGUGGUUCUAAGUCUACGAAUGACACGGAGAAGGAAAAGAUACCCGAAGAAACGACACCUACACCUGAUGUUAAAUAUCGAAAUUUGCGGCAGCUCGUAAAGAAGCGCCAAAAGAUUGGAGCACGCAAUGAAGAUAAGAGAGAGGCCGAAACAUGUAAGGCUGGUGUGACACAUAAAGAAGCAUCGUUGAACGACGUCAUAUUACCAUCGGGUGUCUUUUCCUUCUCCGUGUCAUUCGUAGACUUAGAACCACCUCUCAUAAAGAAUAAAUGUGCAAGAUUUGUAUAUUGAUCAACUAGUGCUAAUUCAGUAGCGGUAUCUAGCGAUCCAUUAAUCCGCAUCUUGAAAUUAAACGAAAAAAGUUGAAUCUACCCACUUCCUAUGUGAUUUCUCAUAAUAAAGGUCCAUAUCCCCAUAAAACAACCCGAGUAUUUUUGUAACAAUGUCGUAGAAGUGCGAUCCAAACAACAUGUCGACCAGACAUAUGUUUCGAUGGCGACGGUGCCUGACAACCGUAUUCUCCAUUUUGGUUCUUCUGAUUUUUGAGAAAAAAAACAGGCAAUGUUUUAUUGUUCGUAAUGGACUACCAUAUGGACCUGAAAAUCGGAAAAGUGUAUAAAGAACCAAGUAAUGUUACUGCAAUCAAGUGUCUGGCUAAGGUGUCUAAGAGACCAACGGCGAGUGCUCUCUUGAAGCACCCUUUUAAUGAGAAGGUUCAGUCCUGUAUUUUCCCUGAUGCAAUGAAACUACUGUAUGAUCUUCAACUGAGGCAAUUCAUUGAAAGGUGCGUUAAGCCUCUAAAUGAGAGACCCGCCGCAAGUGAAUUCUUGAAGCACCCGUGUCUUUCAACUAAUGAUGAGGGCGGUGUGGAAGCCAAGACUACAGGCCAAAUCCAAGCUGGUUGGGGUCCUUAAGGAAGCUGUCAUCAACUCGCAAAGCAGACCUGAGGCUCGAUUGGAUUCAAUUCAAUUCUUUAGUAUGAAAUUAAGACUUUUCUUGAAUUUUCUGUAGUACAAAUAUGUCUUUGAUUCAAGGUAUAUUACGAAGUAGUAAUAGUAGUUAGUGUUUACAUAAUAAAGUGUAUGAAAAAUGUUGAGAAUCUAGACUUCUAGUCAUACAUGUCAGGGUGUGUAGGAGGGGUGGGGGUGCUUGAUUCAGCUUUCUUGUUUGUAAUUUGAUUUUACUAGUUUGAUUUGAAUAAAAUUAGAACAUUGUUGCUUAGUCAGUUAA